rnacentral:rRNA from 1 species
AUACGUAGGGGGCAAGCGUUGUCCGGAAUCACUGGGCGUAAAGCGCAUGCAGGCGGGAUAUUAAGUCAGGUGUGAAAUCUAUAGGCUCAACCUAUAGCCUGCACCUGAAACUGGUAUUCUUGAGUAUUGGAGAGGAAAGUGGAAUUCCUAGUGUAGCGGUGAAAUGCGUAGAUAUUAGGAGGAACAUCAGUGGCGAAGGCGACUUUCUGGCCAAUUACUGACGCUCAGAUGCGAAAGCGUGGGGAGCAAACAGGAUUAGAUACCCUGGUAGUCCACGCCGUAAACGAUGGGUACUAGGUGUUGGGUGUCAAAGCUCAGUGCCGCAGUUAACACAAUAAGUACCCCGCCUGGGGAGUACGUUCGCAAGAAUGAA